UACGUAGGGGGCAAGCGUUGUCCGGAUUUAUUGGGCGUAAAGAGCGUGUAGGCGGUCAGGUAGGUCCGUUGUGAAAACUCGAGGCUCAACCUCGAGACGCCGAUGGAAACCAUCUGACUAGAGUCCGGAAGAGGAGAGUGGAAUUCCUGGUGUAGCGGUGAAAUGCGCAGAUAUCAGGAAGAACACCCGGUGGCUAAGGCGGCUCUCUAGUACGGUACUGACGCUGAGACGCGAAAGCGUGGGGAGCAAACAGG
rnacentral:rRNA from 1 species